GGGGAUGUAGCUCAAUGGUAGAGCACUUGCCUAACACAUGCAAGGCCCUGAGUUCCAUCUCCA
rnacentral:tRNA from 1 species